rnacentral:rRNA from 1 species
UACAGAGGUCCCAAGCGUUGUUCGGAUUCAUUGGGCGUAAAGGGUGUGUAGGUGGCGCCGUAAGUCGGGUGUGAAAUUUCGGAGCUUAACUCCGAAACUGCAUUCGAUACUGCGGUGCUUGAGGACUGGAGAGGAGACUGGAAUUCAUGGUGUAGCAGUGAAAUGCGUAGAGAUCAUGAGGAAGACCAGUGGCGAAGGCGGGUCUCUGGACAGUUCCUGACACUGAGACACGAAGGCCAGGGGAGCAAACGGA